rnacentral:rRNA from 1 species
ACGGGAGGCAGCAGUGGGGAAUCUUGCGCAAUGCGCGAAAGCGUGACGCAGCAACGCCGCGUGGGGGAAGAAGGCCUUCGGGUUGUAAACCCCUUUCAGUUGGGACGAAGCUUCAGUGGUGAAUAGCCGCUUGGAGUGACGGUACCUUCACAAGAAGCCCCGGCUAACUACGUGCCAGCAGCCGCGGUAAUACGUAGGGGGCUAGCGUUGUCCGGAAUCAUUGGGCGUAAAGAGCGUGUAGGCGGCCCGGUAAGUCCGCUGUGAAAGUCGGGGGCUCAACCCUCGAAUGCCGGUGGAUACUGUCGGGCUAGAGUGCGGAAGAGGCGAGUGGAAUUCCUGGUGUAGCGGUGAAAUGCGCAGAUAUCAGGAGGAACACCGAUUGCGAAGGCAGCUCGCUGGGACGUAACUGACGCUGAGACGCGAAAGCGUGGGGAGCAAACAGGAUUAGAUACCCUGGUA